rnacentral:rRNA from 1 species
CCUACGGGUGGCAGCAGUGGGGGAUAUUGCACAAUGGGGGGAACCCUGAUGCAGCGACGCCGCGUGGGUGAAGGAGUGCUUCGGCAUGUAAAGCCCUAUCGGCAGGGAAGAAGCAUGACGGUACCUGACUAAGAAGCACCGGCUAACUACGUACCAGCAGCCGCGGUAAUACGGAGGGGGCGAGCGUGAUCCGGAUUCACUGGGUGUAAAGGGAGCGUAGACGGCCAUGCAAGCCAGGGGUGAAAGACCGGGGCCCAACCCGAGGACUGCCCUUGGAACUGGAUGGCUGGAGUACGGGAGAGGAAGGCGGAAUUCGUGGUGUAGCGGUGAAAUGCGUAGAUAUCAGGAGGAACACCGGGGGCGAAGGCGGCCUGCUGGACGGUAACUGACGUUGAGGCUCGAAAGCGUGGGGAGCAAACAGGAUUAGAUACCCGAGUAGUC